GACGUCUUGGAAACCAUAUGACAUGGUUUAAAUUGAUCAUCAUCCGUGAUACUGCUCUGCACUUGCUUAUGGCUGACAUUAAUUUCUGGUGAAGUGUCACUAUGAUCAGUACAAGUGUACUCAGAUAAAGGAGAUCUCUUAAGGCAAGAUCUUGAAUUUCUAGAAGAUGAACUUUCUCGCUGAUUGGGCUUCCCCUUAACUGCCUUGACGCUUUCCUGCUGCAUUAAUUCUUUUGGUAAUAUAUGCCAGUCAUUGCAAAGACUUUCAUAGCGCAUGCCUGUUUUCGGACUUCCAAUAGUAGUACAUGAAGCAGGAACAGAUCUUGAUCU
rnacentral:misc_RNA from 1 species